rnacentral:rRNA from 1 species
AAACCAGCACCUCAAGUGGUCAGGAGGAUUAUUGGGCCUAAAGCAUCCGUAGCCUGUUCUAUAAGUUUCCGGUUAAAUCCACUAGCUCAACUAGUGGGCUACCGAAAAUACUGUAGAACUAGGGAGUGGGAGAGGUAGACGGUAUUCGGUAGGAAGGGGUAAAAUCCUUUGAUCUAUUGAGGACCACCUGUGGCGAAGGCGGUCUACCAGAACACGUUCGACGGUGAGGGAUGAAAGCUGGGGGAGCAAACCGGAUUAGAAACCCUGGUAGUCC